AAAGGAGAGACUCGACGAGUUGGAUCCAGACUCGCCGAGUAGGGUCGCAGGUUUGGUCGCGGGUUCGCGACUGGACUCGACGAGUCCAGGUAUGGACUCGGCGAGUCGACGCUGUUCAGUGGAAAACCUUAGCCGUUCNCUGUUCAGUGGAAAACCCUAGCCGUUCAGUUUGGGACGUAUAUAAGGGAUCUUAUGCCGUCAUUGUUCGUCUUUUUGGCCGAGUGAGGAGAACCCUAAACGACUGUGGCAUCUAGAGCAAGCUUGAAGGCCAUUAUUGACCUUGAAGGAAUUGUGGUGCAAGAAGAGGAAGGAUUUUGGCCAAAGGAAGAUCAAGGGGAUCGAGUUCUGAGGUUUGGGGGAUCAGAGAGUACGUUUUCAGGUAAUGUUUUGGAUCAUUCCUGUUAUUUUGAUGUGUACACGGAUUUAGGGUUUAUGAAACCCAUUUGGUGAUUUGAUGGAUUAUUAUGUUGUUAUACAAAAGUUUAUACCCCAGUAAUAGGAGGAUUAGAGGUCCAGAAGUCCCAUGAGUGUGUAUUGCGGGACCAUACGUAAUUCUGGGAGCAGUUGAUCGACUGCAUGGCGUGGACUCGCCGAGUCGGAUGAGCAGACUCGGCGAGUAGCUU
rnacentral:lncRNA from 1 species